rnacentral:rRNA from 1 species
ACUCUAACAUAUAUGCGAGUGUUCUUGAAAGGGAAACGAUUGAAGUCAGUCGUACCUGCGGACAAUCAGCUUUUUGAGUGUGAUUAUGUGGAUUGUGAGGAGUCUAAACACCUUCAUGCCUGCAUAUUCGUGCUCUUGGGUGUACUUGCUCGUGUGGUUGGUUAACAUCAAUUUCGGACGCCAUAAAUGGCUGGAGGAAUGUAGCUUCGAUCUCGUAUUGAGUGUUAUAGCCUUCGGUAGAUGUGGUGAUCGAGAUUGAGGAUUGCAACGGAUACCC